AGCAAAGUAUUUCCCGCUCUUAAUAUUAAUUGUGGUAUUAUAGUGUAAAUGUUUUUCUGCGCAUAGAUAUGAGCGCAGCUUCAGUGCUGAAUCGUCUUCUCUGCAACAAAUCCUUCAACUCCCAAACCCAACCCACAAGUGCGAAAGCCUUAACUAACACCAUCCUUAACCUCCUCAAAUCCAAUCACCUCCGCAAAGCUGUUUCUGUUCUCUUUGCAUCCCCUUUCCCUGUUCCUUAUUCCUUGUACGCUCGACUAUUCCAGCUUUGCUCUUCAACUCUUGCAAUUGUGGAGGCUCGAAAAGUCGAAUCACAUUUGGUUACAUUCUCUCCAACUCCACCAGUCUUUCUCUUGAAUCGGGCCAUUGAGACUUAUGGAAAAUGUGGGUGUUUGGAGGAUGCAAAAGAAUUGUUCGACGAAAUGCCUCAAAGAGAUGGUGGAUCUUGGAAUGCAAUCGUUAAAGCUUUCACACAAUGCGGGAGCGCAGAGGAAGCUUUGUAUUUGUUUAAGGAUAUGCAUAAGGAAGGAGUUCUUGCAAAUGAGAUUACAUUUGCCAGCGUUCUGGGGUCGUGUGGUGAUGUUUUGGCGCUUUCUCUAUCUAGGCAAGUUCAUGGGCUUAUUAUGAAAUAUGGGUUUUGUUGGAAUGUCGUUUUGGGAAGUGCGCUCGUUGAUGUGUACGGCAAGUGUAAGGCUAUGAGGGAAGCGAGGUUGAUGUUUGACGAGAUUGAGAAUUCUAAUGAUGUUACUUGGAAUGUAAUAGUUAGGCGCUAUCUCGAGGCAGACAAUGACAGGGAGGCGGUGAUUAUGUUCUUUAAGAUGUUCCAAACAGAUGUUAGACCGCUAAAUUUUACCUUUUCUAACGCCCUUCUUGCAUGUUCAGCUAUGCAUGCGCUCAAGGAGGGGAUGCAGAUUCAUGGAGUCGCAAUUAAGAUUAACUUUGACGAAAAUGAGACGGUUUCAAGUUCUCUCAGUAACAUGUAUGCGAAGUGUGGGAGAAUAGAGAGCGCUCGCAUGGUUUUUGACCAACCUGGUGCAAAAGAUUUGAUAUCUUGGACCUCAAUGAUAUCAGUUUACGCAAUGAGUGGGAAAACAAGGGAGGCUAGGGAACUUUUUGAAGAGAUGCCUGAAAGGAGUGUUAUCUCAUGGAAUGCUAUGUUGGCCGGGUACACUCGUUCUCUCCAGUGGCAAGAGGCCUUAGAUUUGGUUCGUUUAAUGCGCAGGACAACUAAAGACAUUGACCAUGUCACCCUAGGAUUACUGUUGAAUGUUUGUGCUGGUCUUCUAGAUCUUGAAAUUGGAAAACUGGUUCAUGGGUUCAUAUAUCGACGUGGUUACAGUUCCAACCUGCUUGUUGGCAACGCCCUUCUUGACAUGUACGGAAAAUGUGGGAACUUGAAAAGUGCUAGAGUUUGGUUUUACCAAAUGAGUCAAUCACGGGAUAACAUUUCUUGGAAUGCUUUGUUGACCAGCUAUGCCCGUCAUCACCAGAGUGAACAAGUUAUGAUGAUUUUUGGGCAGAUGCAGUGGGAGACAAGACCCAGUAUAUUUACUUUUGCAACUCUUUUAGCAGCUUGUGCAAAUGUUUCUGCACUUGGUCAAGGAAAACAAAUACAUGGAUUCAUGAUUAGAAAUGGAUAUAACAUAGAUAUUGUAAUCAGAGGAGCUCUAGUUGACAUGUACUCUAAAUGUCGUUGUAUUCCUUAUGCUCUUGCAGUCUUUAGAGAGGCAGCUUCCAGGGAUGUGGUUCUCUGGAACUCCAUAAUUUUGGGAUGCUGUCACAAUGGAAGAGGCGAAGAGGGCCUUAAAUUGUUUGAGUUAAUGGUGGAGAAAGGGAAUAAACCAGACCAUGUUUCCUUUCAAGGUGUCUUGCUUGCUUGUAUGAGUGAAGGUCAUAUUGAUUUGGCCACACAGUAUUUUAAUUCAAUGAGCAAUGAAUAUUAUAUUAUACCACGGGUGGAGCACUAUGAGUGUAUGAUUGAACUCUUAAGUAGGUAUGGAUGCAUGAAUGAGCUUGAGGAUUUUGUUAAGGGGAUGCCAUUUGAUCCCACUGUGCCCAUGCUGACAAGAGUUUUGGAUGCUUGUAAAGAUCAUGGAUGCUCCAGAUUGGGAAAAUGGGUUGCUAAACAGCUUAACAAAUGAAUCCCUUUACCCUGUCCAUUUUGAAGUCAGAGAUGGACAACCUAGGUGAGUUAUGGUCACCAAAUUAAAGAUAAUGGAAUCUUGGUUUGCGGUUGCAGCUACAGGUAACCAACUUCAAGUUCUCUUGUCACAAGUGGAUUUAGCAUGAGGGACCACCGCAUAGUGUUAAAGUUGGGGUUAUAGGCUCACCUAGAAGUUGUCAUAAUGACUACUAGCAUCUCACCUGCCAUAACUGAAGAUAGAUUUUUAUUGUACUUUUUGUAUUUUGGAAUUGGUUAAAGGUAGCAUCUAGUAUAAUUUCAUAUGAGAAUGAACUUAAUUAUUGUUAGAUCAAUAUUUAUAUUAAGAUUCGUUUAGAGUUAAUUAAAAGUGCAUACAAUGAAUGUACAAAUUUACAUGCAAAUAUUUAGUAUGAUGGUUAUCAAGCUCACCUCAUAUGAGGUCAAGCUUUUCAUAGUCCAUCCAAGCUUCAUGUAAUUGAGGACCUGCCAAUGCUGCAGUAUCAAAUCCUUGAGACUUGGAAUUCAAUAUAUUUGUCCAUGAACAGGUUCCUCAAGAAAGAGAAGGAACCUCAACAAGAGGAAAUUAGUUUGGCGCGAGGAGGAUUUUCCAGUUCAUAGAUCCGAGAUCUUAUUAUUGGGCACAUAACAUUUUGGUAACAAGUAGUGGUCAACAAAAUUUCAUUCCCCAACCCAGUGAACGAGAUGAAGGGUGUACGGUGCCAAGAUGCACAAAGCUGGAUUUCCCUUCAUUUUAUGAUCCUGAAUAUUUGAUAGGAAUAUGGAUUAUUCUAGAAUAUAUAAUAACAGAAAGGAUAAGGUUUAUUGAAGAGAGGACAGCUAGCAAAGAGAGGCAAAAAUUUAUAUAAAGAGAGGGAGAGGAGAACGAAAAGGGGAUCUCGAAGUUGAAAUUUUCUCUGGAUUAGAGGGGUAGAACAAUCUGCAUGGGGAAUCUUCCUUGGGGGCUCUUGGCAGCCAUUUUUAUCUUUAUCUUGUUAGUUCCUUGGUUAUUUUAUUUUCUAAUAUUUGUUCCUUCCAUUUGAGAGUAGAAAAGACUAGAGAAAAUCUGUAAUUGGGCAAUACUGAUUGGAAUAGUAUUCUGCCUUUUCUUUUGUAAUACAAAUCUCAACUCAUCCAUUUCUUUCGAUUAUUUUACAUCAAAAUUAGUUCGUGACUCUAUCAAUAUUCAUUGGGGUGGAUUAAUCGUAGUGAGCAAUUUUUUCACAAUUAGCAUAUUGCAGAGGAAGAUAAAGUUAGCCUGGCAGUCUUUCACAUGACAGGAGAGAUCCAAUUUUGGUUUUAUCGCCUGGAGCAAGAGGAGCCUUGAAUGACAUGAGCCCAAUUCAAAGAAUUUUGCAAUUUGAGUUUCGAGCUCCCUUUACGCAACAAUUCUUUGGGUGAGUUGAUGAUCUCAAAUAGACGGCAGCAGUAGAAGAGUACUAGAAAAGUUUCAAGUCUUGGAGGUAGAAUUGCAGAAUCCCUAAAAUUUGGCCAUUGUGAUGAAUUUAAACCGCACCUUUGAGAAGAAACAACUGAUUGGCCUUGAAAAACGGUUUUCAACUACCAGGACACCUUAGAGAUCAACGACAAGGAUAGAAGGGCAAAGCAUAGUUCCCAAAGGUUCAAUAAUUGCAGGAUCAAGUGUAACAACAUUCAGUGUGGGAAAUGCCUCUGCAUCAUUUAUUAAAAGACUCAGCAGGACAGAGAUGGUAGAGCGGCAGGGGUAAUUAUGACGAGCCUUAUUUUUUCGAUCAUCAAUGUAAAAAAUUAUUUGGUUGGAAAUGGAGGAGUUAGAGUCGAUAGAUGACUUGGGGGAUUGAAAUCUCUUUGCAUGAGAUUUUUGGUUUGCAAAGCUCACCGACCAUGCAGCUCAAAGUAGUUGCAGAAGAGGUUCCCUUGUUAAUCAUUGUUGAUUCGGAAACAGCAACAAAAGUUUGGGCAUUCCUAUAUAGAAACAAACGGGGCUGAGUGUAUCAGUGGCAAAUGGGGAGCAAGUCUCCAGUUUGGAUAUGUGUACUGCAUUAACAUUCUAGGUAGACCAAGAACUAUUUAUAUCUUUUUUUGCAAUGGAGAGAAUGUGUAAAUGUUUGAGUUAGAGAUCAAAGGUAAUUUAUACUGACUGCACACCAACUUUGGGGGUUAACACUGAUUGUAUGAUUUGCAAUUAUAAAUUUCAUCAGUGUCAUAACUAACUGGAGCAAUAUUUGUUGCUAGCAGUGUCCCACAAAUAUAUUAUAAAAGUUUUCAUUCAAUCAAUGUCAACAUUGGUUC